rnacentral:rRNA from 1 species
GCCAACGUACUACCCCAAACCCAUCCAAUUUCAUCUUAUUUUGGAAGUUAAUCAGGGAUGGUCCUGGUUAGUAAAUACUGGGAGACCACCAGGGAAUAUCAGGAGGCUCUUGGUA